AUUGAACGCUAGCGGCAUGCCUUACACAUGCAAGUCGAGCGGAGCGGCGGACGGGUGAGUAAUGCCUAGGAAUCUGCCUGGUAGUGGGGGAUAACUUCGGGAAAGGGGCGCUAAUACCGCAUACUAUUAGAUCGGCCGAGGUCGGAUUAGCUAGUUGGUGGGGUAAAGGCCUACCAAGGCGACGAUCCGUAACUGGUCUGAGAGGAUGAUCAGUCACACUGGAACUGAGACACGGUCCAGACUCCUACGGGAGGCAGCAGUGGGGAAUUUUGGACAAUGGGCGAAAGCCUGAUCCAGCCAUGCCGCGUGUGUGAUGAAGGUCUUCGGGUUGUAAAGCACUUUAAGUAGGGAGGCGUUACCUACAGAAUAAGCACCGGCUAACUUCGUGCCAGCAGCCGCGGUAAUUC
rnacentral:rRNA from 1 species